AUUUGCUUAGAGAAGAGUCAAAAA
rnacentral:snRNA from 1 species